AUUGAACGCUGGCGGCAUGCUUUACACAUGCAAGUCGAACGGUAACAGGCCUUCGGGUGCUGACGAGUGGCGAACGGGUGAGUAAUGCAUCGGAACGUACCCAGAGGUGGGGGAUAACGCAGCGAAAGCUGUGCUAAUACCGCAUGUGAUCUGAGGAUGAAAGCGGGGGACCGAGCAGCAAUGUUUGGCCUCGCGCCUUUGGAGCGGCCGAUGUCGGAUUAGCUAGUUGGUGGGGUAAAGGCCUACCAAGGCGACGAUCCGUAGCUGGGCUGAGAGGACGACCAGCCACACUGGGACUGAGACACGGCCCAGACUCCUACGGGAGGCAGCAGUGGGGAAUUUUGGACAAUGGGCGCAAGCCUGAUCCAGCAAUGCCGCGUGCGGGAAGAAGGCCUUCGGGUUGUAAACCGCUUUUGGCAGGAACGAAACGGUGUCCGCUAAUACCGGGCGCUAAUGACGGUACCUGCAGAAUAAGCACCGGCUAACUACGUG
rnacentral:rRNA from 1 species